AUGGAAAAAGGUCAAAGAGAAGAGAGCCAUCGAGAAAGCGAGAGUUUGAAGAGAGCGAGGAAGCAGAAGUCGAAGAGGUUUUAUCUGUGGGAGUUGUCGCUUGGUUUCUCAGGGGGUCAAGCUUGUUGCUUUCCCAUGCCUUUUGGGCUGAGGAAGGGUGUUUUUUGGUUCGUUGUCGCUACCCCAUUCCUGGUUUCCCUCGCUAU
rnacentral:lncRNA from 1 species